rnacentral:ncRNA from 2 species
UACGGAGGGUGCAAGCGUUAUCCGGAAUCAUUGGGUUUAAAGGGUCCGCAGGCGGUCAAUUAAGUCAGAGGUGAAAUCCCAUAGCUUAACUAUGGAACUGCCUUUGAUACUGGUUGACUUGAGUUAUACGGAAGUAGAUAGAAUAAGUAGUGUAGCGGUGAAAUGCAUAGAUAUUACUUAGAAUACCGAUUGCGAAGGCAGUCUACUACGUAUAUACUGACGCUCAUGGACGAAAGCGUGGGGAGCGAACAGG